CUCACCAGGUCAGGACACGGUAAGGAUUGACGGACUGAAGGCUCUUUUCUCGAUUCCGUGGAAAGUGGUGCAUGGCCGUUUUUGGUUGGUGGAUCGAUCCGUCUGGUUAAUUCCGUUAACGAACGAGACCUCGGCACUCCGAAUAGCGCGGCGGACGUCGCGGCCUCCGGGCCGUCUUCCGCACGAGCUUCUUAGAGGGACCGUCCCCCGCCGGGGAAGGAGGUGCGAGGCAACGACAGGUCUGUGAUGCCCUUAGAUGUUCUGGGCCGCACGCGCAUUACACUGACGCGUCCAACGGGUGACUCCCGACCCGAAGGGGCCGGGGAAUCCGCAAGGCGCGUCGUGAUGGGGAUUGAACGUUGCAAUUGUUGUUCACGAACGAGGAAUUCCUAGUAGGCGCGGGUCAUCAACCCGCGCCGAUUACGUCCCUGCCCUUUGUACACACCGCCCGUCGCUCCUACCGAUCGAACGGUCCGGUGAGGACCCAGGACGGCGCGGGACCCGAGGGGCCGAAAGGCUCCGCGACCCGUGUC
rnacentral:rRNA from 1 species